AUCGGCUCUGCUGGUGUUUUGUGAGUGAGCCCAGGAUAGGGAGGCCUUGGGAGCUUAAAGGUAGAACUAACCAAAUGGGGAAAGGUGAAAGAAGCCAGCGAAGGUAAUAUCAGCAAGGCAUUCCAAAAGAUGUAUCAAAGCUCAACAUGCCCCCGGUGCAGAAAAUAAGAGAGGAAGGUGGCUUUCUUCAUUUUUGCUUUGUUUGGAUUGAAAGUUUCCAUCUGCUCCCUUUGAUCGUGAAGAGAAGACAGAGAAGUACAUGGUGGAGAUGAACGGUAACUUACAUCCUUGCAGAAGGCUCCACUGGCAAUUUAGGAGGGGAAAUGGAGAUGGAAAGGACCGCGCAGCAGCAGUACGGUGAGCAGAUGCCCUGGUGAGAUGCAAGGAUGCAGUCAGCACAGGUACAGGGAUGUAUGGAGCUGGAGCAAAGAGCUUGGGUGUUUUGGGCUUCCCAGGGUCUGAGUUGUGGCUCACACUACGUACAGGUUCCUAUUAUCAUGUGUGCAGGUCUGGGGGAAUAAAUCAGAGAUGAGUACUGGCAUUUUUGUAAAUCACAGGCUGAGAAACUCUAUGCCUGUUUCAUUGCAUUGUUAUUUCAAGUAAAUCUUCCACAUGCACAGAAACAAGAACUAGGUUUUGAGCUUUGACCUGGCACCGGUGAGGCCACACCUCAAGUGCUUUGUUCAGUAUUGGCCCCUCUCUGCAAGAAAGACACUGAGGGCCUGCAGCAUGUCCAGAAGGGCAGCAGAGCAGUGAGAGGUCUGGAGCACAAGUGGAACAGCUGAGGGAACGGAGGGUGGUCAGUCUGGAGAAGAGGAGGCUCAGGGAAAAAUCUAAUUGCUCUUUACAAUGACAUGAAAGGAGGUUGUGGUGAGCUGGGGUUUGGCCUCCACUCUCAGGUAACAAUGAUAGGAGGAGAGAGGAUGGCCUCACAUUGCACCAGGGGAGGUUCAGGUUGGGUGUUAGGCUGCCCAAGGAGGUGGUGGGGUCGCUGUCCCUGAAGAUGUGGCACGUUCAUGUGGUGUCUUAGGGGUCAUGGUGAGGAUGGACGGCUGGUUGGAAGAGAUGUACUUAAAGGUCUUUUCCUAUCUUAAAAAUUCUGAGACUUUGGGAACUUCAUGAAAGACAAUUGCAGCUGGGAGCAUGACUCUAAUCAAGGAAGGUAAAGAGAGAAGCCACUGCUCAGCCAAAUCUGGGGCUUGGUAUCCCUCCAGCAAGGCUGGCAUUUGGCCACAUGGAGGCUCUUCCUGCAUCCCCUAACCAUCCAGGGGUCUGCAACACCCCUGCUUGCUAAUAGCAUACCCAAAAUCUCACACCAUAUCAGUGUGCAUGUCUCACCAUGAUGAUUCUGAGACCAAUGGGGAAUGGAUCCCAGACUGCUGUGGAAACAAGCUACCAUCAGCCUGCAAAUCCCCCCAAGCAAAGCUGUUAGUCCCAAGCCCCAUUUCUACUUAGCACCAAGAAGAUACUCCUGUCUAUCUCUCCCUACUGCAGGAGCCCAGGCUCUGUCAAAGGACCAUGAAAUGCAGCUAGACGCCAGUGGAAAGAACACGAAGGAGUGUUUGAGCAACAUGCUCAUCGACGAGCAGUCUCUAAUUAUGCCAGCAACAGAGACAAAAAGCACACACCAGCUGACACUUCGCUGGAUCUCCACUGUGCUAACUGACUGCAAUUAAUGAGACGGCGGCACUGAAGCUAGAAAGAACCCAAGCCAGAAUGAAACCUCACUGAUUAAUUAAAAAUUAAGAGAUACCCAGAAGAAAAUCUUCCCUGCCUCCUUCCAGUCAGCUGCCAACCUUGUGAAAGCUUGCCGGGGGAGGUUCAGGGCAAUUCUGAAAGGAAAGCAAGCCCUGAAAUUCAAAGUGAUGCUUCAAGACUGGCCAGAGAACUUUCAAGUUGUCCAUCAACUCCAUGCAAAUCAUAAAAUCCAAUGGCAGGUGGCCAGUGAUGGCCUGAAAAUGAAUAGCCAAUCAUGCUGUUAACACUGUAGGGGACAAUUUGCAUAGAUUUAUGUUCUGCUAAUGCUUGUAAGGUGCAGUAGAACAGAGGGGGUAGAAAAAAGUUCUGAUCAGCCAAGAGCUGGAGUGGAACCUGUGCUGAGAGCAGGAAGAAUACACAGAGGAGAGGCAGCCCACAGCCAGCACAGCUUCCCAGUGUCACUACAACUCUUGUCCUGUGAGAAGCAAACCUUUGGCCAGGAGCUGGGAUGGAGAGGAGAUGAGCAGGUUCAGCUCAGCUCUAGUCCUUUCCUGAAUCAAACCCAGACAGGACCAUAAACCAGAAAGGAUUGUAACAUACAUGGGAUUGAACUGCUGCACAAACGGUCUCCAAGAAUAUAUCAGGGUUCAAUCCAAGGCUCAGCAGACAGUGGUCACCUUUUCUCCAUUUUCAAAUGGCUCUUGGAUCCGAUCACUGCAUAUUUCUUGCCAGCAUAGAGAGCUAUAAAAAAGCCAAGAGAAAUCCUUUCAUUUUUAACAACAGCAGGACAGUAACACUCACUGACUUCACAGCUGCUGUGGAGACUAGCAGUAUUUUCAGUGCAUUAAGAGACACAAACAAUGCUUUAACCACAAAGCAUUAUUAGUAAAAACACUCUGGCACCAGAAAGCCUUUUGACUUGUAUUAUGCUAACCUCAUUUAGCUCAAACUUAUUAUGCUCCGAACUGUUCUCUAGGUCAGAUUCAGACUGGAGUCAUAAACAUGUAUAUGUGAAUAUAUAUACAUAUGCAUAAAGGCAUAUAUUUUAAGAAGAUCUGUAAAUUUUCACCAAGUAGACAAAGCCGUCUAUCAAAAGACAAGGGCUUGAUUUCUAAAAGCAAACACAGUUCAAUUUGCACUACUAAAAACACAGUCAGUAUUCACCCACCCAAGUGAGCCCUGACUGCAUGCUGAGAGUUCCUCCUGGCCUGCCCUGGGAUGCUCCUAUCACAAAGCCAGGUGCUCACAUGCCUCUGAGGUCGGGAAGGUGUCCAGAAGUGGAGAAAAAAAGCAAACAAUAGCAUCCUUCUCCUGUCUCUUUUUCCUCUUUUUUUACUGGCACAGAGGCAGCUCCAUCCCAUAUCAAACUUAGCUUCUGCCACGUACAAGAGUCUAUGCUGGCAAAGAUAUGUGCUGUGUAUGGUGACUGGUGUGCACCUCAGGCAAAACUAAAGGGCCACAGAGGGAAGCACCAAUACACCCAGCAGGAUGCCCUGCAAACCUGUGAUGGUGGAAGAACGCCAGCCCUGUGGGGCAGCACAUCUGAACGCAGCACUGAUUGCCACCAAAACAGCAGCCACACACAUACACCUGGACUAGAAAAAAAGCAAAGAGUCCUGAUGUUGAUAUCCAUGUUUCCACAAAUGAGCCCAAAUUCCUCCCCUGGACAGUAUGGCUAUGCAGUCAGCUUUCAGCUGACUUUACCACUUUAGCUCAUCCCAUCUGUUUUAUUAGCAGAAUUAGUAUCAAGAUAUUCACAAUCUUUAGGGGGACUUUCUGCUAUAAACGUAAUUUGCCUUCCAUGUCACUCAUGGGAAAUCAAGGACUGAGACAAUCAAUGAAGUUCACAGGACUUCUUCUGCCUCUGUGAUUCUGAAAAAGUCCAGAGAGAACAGAGUUUCUGUGCCAGGAUGAACUUAGGUGUUAAUUCAGGCAAAUAUAUUAUUUUCUUCAACUGUGCUAACCCACACAGUCGGCGAUAAUAACCUUCAUGUUAGAUUGCUUUGACCCAUCACCACUGCUCAGUAUUUGGAGAACGAUAGAUCCCAGUUCUGGCUUUCUGCCACAUCAAAUAAAGUGGAAAAGCAAUUUAUACAGCCUCUUGGAGGAAAAUGACAGCGCUCAAAGGAAAGGUGCUCAAGAUAUAAUUUAAUUUAGGCGUGAUGAGCUUCACACAUCUCUCCUGGGUAAGCCAGUCAAUGAAGUCUCCAUCUCAUCCAUUAGAAGGGUUAGAUUUUUAUUUUUUUUAACCCUCCCAGAGCAGGCUAGGAGAUAAGGUCAUAGAUAUUAAUAAAGGUGGUUAAAAUAACACCUAAAUAACUGUGAGAUACCAUCAGCCUGGAAUACAUCUCUGGGGAACCUGUACCAGAGCUGGGAGAUGCAGCUGAAGCAGUGGAGCUGGACUCCUUUAGAACCCCCAGGGUCCCAUUUCCCUUCUGCUGACUCAGGUGACGCACUGGAACAGAUUGCCCAGAGAAGUUGUGGAUGCCCCAUCCCUGCAGGCAUUCAAGGCCAGGCUGGAUGUGGCUCUGGGCAGCCUGGUCUGCUGGUCAGCAACCACUAACUCCAGAGAUCCUUUACUCCCCCCUACAAUUUUGUGAUUUCUGCUUUCUCCUGCUGGCCCCCAUAGCAGUAGGGUCUUUCCUCAGAGUGAAGUUCAGCAUAUAUUUGCAUCCUCACAUUAACCAUCAAGGAGAAA